rnacentral:rRNA from 1 species
AAGGGGGGACGGAGAAGGCUAUGUUGGCCGGGCGACGGUUGUCCCGGUUUAAGCGUGUAGGUGUGUGUUCCAGGUAAAUCCGGUUCACUUUAACACUGAGGCGUGAUGACGAGGCACUACGGUGCUGAAGCAACAAAUGCCCUGCUUCCAGGAAAAGCCUCUAAGCAUCAGGUAACAUCAAAUCGUACCCCAAACCGACACAGGUGGUCAGGUAGAGAAUACCAAGGCGCUUGAGAGAACUCGGGUGAAGGAACUAGGCAAAAUGGUGCCGUAACUUCGGGAGAAGGCACGCUGACACGUAGGUGAAGUGAUUUACUCA